rnacentral:rRNA from 1 species
GAUGAACGCUGGCGGCGUGCCUAAUACAUGCAAGUCGAGCGAAUGGAUUAAGAGCUUGCUCCUAUGAAGUUAGCGGCGGACGGGUGAGUAACACGUGGGUAACCUGCCCAUAAGACUGGGAUAACUCCGGGAAACCGGGGCUAAUACCGGAUAACAUUUUGAACCGCAUGGUUCGAAAUUGAAAGGCGGCUUCGGCUGUCACUUAUGGAUGGACCCGCGUCGCAUUAGCUAGUUGGUGAGGUAACGGCUCACCAGGGCAACGCUGCGUAGCCGACCUGAGAGGGUGAUCGGCCCCACUGGGACUGGGACACGGCCCAGACUCCUACGGGAGGCAGCAGUAGGGAAUCUUCCGCAAUGGACGAAAGUCUGACGGAGCAACGCCGCGUGAGUGAUGAAGGCUUUCGGGUCGUAAAACUCUGUUGUUAGGGAAGAACAAGUGCUAGUUGAAUAAGGUGGCACCUUGACGGUACCUAACCAGAAAGCCACGGCUAACUACGUGCCAGCCGCCGCAGUAA